rnacentral:rRNA from 1 species
CGCUGGGGCAGCCUAAUAAUGCAAGUCGAACGCUUUGAUUUCACCGGGUGCUUGCACCCACCGAAGUCAAAGAGUGGCGGACGGGUGAGUAACACGUGGGUAACCUGCCCAUAAGAGGGGGAUAACAUUCGGAAACGGAUGCUAAUACCGCAUACUUCUAAUCGCCUCCUGGCGAAUGGAAAAAAGGUGGCUUCGGCUACCGCUUAUGGAUGGACCCGCGGCGUAUUAGCUAGUUGGUGAGGUAAUGGCUCACCAAGGCGAUGAUACGUAGCCGACCUGAGAGGGUGAUCGGCCACACUGGGACUGAGACACGGCCCAGACUCCUACGGGAGGCAGCAGUAGGGAAUCUUCCGCAAUGGACGAAAGUCUGACGGAGCAAUGCCGCGUGAGUGAAGAAGGUUUUCGGAUCGUAAAACUCUGUUGUUAGAGAAGAACAAGGAUGAGAGUAACUGCUCAUCCCCUGACGGUAUCUAACCAGAAAGCCACGGCUAACUACGUGCCAGCAGCCGCGGUAAU